CCAGAAAAUGGCUUUCCUAUCAUUACUAUCACAGCAAUGGUGGCAAGAGCUUCAUGGAGUGACAAAGUUGACUCUUUUUCUUUAUACUCUUCUCUUACCUUUCUUAUUUCUAAGACUCCGAAAAUUAGGUGAAAAAGGCAAACUUAACUUGCCUCCAUCACCUCCAAAGUUGCCAAUAAUAGGCAACCUCCACCAGCUUGGUACACUGCCUCACCGCUCUCUUCGAAUGCUAUCAAGUAAGUAUGGCCCUCUAAUGCUCUUGCACUUGGGCCAUGUUCCAACUCUUGUGGUUUCAUCUGCAGAGAUGGCUAGAGAAAUGAUGAAAUCCCAUGAUAUUGCUUUCUCAAAUAGACCAAAAACCACAGCUGCCAAUAUCUUUUUUUAUGGAUGUAUAGAUGUGGGAUUUGCACCCUAUGGUGAUUACUGGAGACAUACGAAAAAAAUUGUUAUUCUUGAGCUUCUAAGCCUGAAAAAAGUGCAAUCGUUUCAGUUUGUGAGGGAAGAAGAAGUAACACUACUUGUCAAUUAGAUACAUGAAUGUCUCAGUAAAGGUCCAGUUAAUCUGAGUGACAUGUUGCUUGCUAUUUCCAACAAUAUUGCUUCAAGAUGUGUUCUUGGAAGUAAGUUUGGGGAAAAAGAUGGUAAGAGUACAUUUGGAGAGUUAUCAAAAAAGAUGAUGAUGCAGUUUACGGCUUUUAGUUUUGGAGAUUUCUUUCCUUCUUUGGGAUGGAUGGAUAAUUUAACAGGCUUGGUUGCAACUUUGAAAGCAUCUUUAAGAGCGAUGGAUGCAUUAUUUGAUCAACUGAUUGAAGAGUAUAAGAUGCUGAACGUGGAUGAAGAUAAGAAAGACUUUAUGCAUAUUCUCCUCAAACUUCAAAAGGAGGGUAUGCUUGAAAUUGAGCUUACCAAGGAGAAUCUCAAAGCAGUCAUACUGGACAUGUUUGUGGCGGGAACUGAAACUACUGCAACAACACUAGAAUGGGCAAUGGCAGAACUCAUAAAAAAUCCGAGUAUGAUGAAGAAAGCCCAAGAAGAGGUAAGAAGAGUAGUGGGGAAGAAAUCAAAACUAGAUGAGACUGAUAUCACCCAUUUGCCGUACUUGAAAUGUAUCAUUAAAGAAACUUUGAGACUACAUGUACCGCUUCCACUUUUAGUUCCUCGUGAAACUUCAACAAAUUGGGGGGUUAUGACAUUCCUUCGAAAGUGACAGUUUACGUAAAUGCAUGGGCAAUACAAAGGGACCCAAAACUAUGGGACCAGCCAGAAGAGUUUCUACCAGAGAGGUUCAACAAAAACCCAGUUGAUUUCAAAGGUCAUGACUUCCAUUUCAUCCCAUUUGGUAGUGGCAGAAGGGGUUGCCCAGGAAUAGCAUUUGGGAGUGCAGCAGCUGAAUAUGUGAUUGCUAAUCUUUUAUACCAUUUCAAUUGGAAGUUGCCUGGUGAUGAAGUUAUGAAGGACCUAGAUAUGAGCGAGGAAUAUGGAAUGACUGUUCAUAGGAGAUUUCCUCUUCUCCUAGUACCAGCUUUGUACUCUCCAAAUUAA